ACCCAAAGAAACACAAAGGAUGAUAAGAGAUUACUGUACAAUAUUAUAUGCCAAUAAAACGGGCAACCCAGAAGAAAUGGACAAAUUCCUAGAAAUUUGCAAUCUCCCAAGACUGGACUGGGAAGAAAUAGAAAAUAUGAACAGACCAAUU